rnacentral:lncRNA from 1 species
AAAGUUUCAAAAGUCAAGAGUUUCAUGUCUCUAACAACAACUAGAAAACUUCUCAUGUUCUUGAAGUACCUGAAUUACAAACUGGGCGGCAGCUUCAACGGAUUGGACAAUGAUGAUAAGGUUCACCACCACAUGAAUCAACAAAAAAACAAAAACCCAAUCGAAAAACCAAUUUUUCUUUUAUUAGAGCAAGGAAAAGGAUCAAGACAAAUUUGACCAAGUUGUCCUUAGGUUUUAACUAACCCAAAACCCAAUGCUAACUCUAAUUUUUUGCCUACCUAGGAAAUUGGAAAUAAACAAAUUAGGCAUGUUGCACUGAGCACACUUACGAAUGAAUUGUUUGGUGUUUAUUGUUAAUAAGUUUGAUUGACAAAAAUCAAUUCAAAUGAUUUAAAUAUUAUGUUUUACACUCUUUAUGUAACCACACUUUUUUCCAAUAAAAUGAUAAGAGUUUAAAACAUGGUUGAUCAAUGUUUGCUAUUAUCCAACACCUCAAAAGCACUUACCACAUCCUCUAAUCAUCUUAGAACACAAACAAUUUGGAAAAGAUUAGUGUCCAAGGGAAGAUUUGAAGAAUAUGAGUUAAGAGACAUAAUGAAAAAUUUGAUCCAGAAUUGCUAAUACACAAGUAUGCUAACAAUCGUUUUUGCAUAAAGUUUAGUUAGUAAUAUCCUCAUUGACUUAUUAUAUUUUAUCAUACAUAUCAAAUAAUCCAAACUAUGAUAAUUUAGAAUUUUUCAAAACUUCUAAUAGUAAAAACACCAUUUGGACCCUCCACUUUAAAAUUGACCCAUAAUACCAUGAAUGAUAGGGCCACUAUGACCAUUUUUUAAAACAUAUCAGAUUACCUACCACAUCAUAUGUGUCUAAUCAUUAUUUUUUAUGCUUAAUAUUGAAAUAUGUGUUAGUGACACAAACUGAUGUAUCCAAAUUGUUCAUGAUUGAAGAUUGUUAGAAGAGAUGAUAAGUGUUUUUUAGGUGAUGGAUGAUAGCAAACAUUGAUCAAUUAAAUUUUAAACUUUCAUCAUUUUAUUGAAAAAUGGAGUUGAAGCUUAAGAGUGUAAAACAUUAUAUUUAAAUUAAUUAGAUAGAUUUCUAAUAAUUCAAACUAAAGGUAACGGUUUCUACUAUACCCGUUUUUGUAGUGUUUUUUUUAUCAAUCAAACUUUGUUCACAUCUAUGAUUUUUUAGUUUUUUUUCCAAAUAAUUUUCAACCAUUUGAUGGGUUUUAAAACUCCAAUAUUUGAACCUUCUUUCCAAAUGAGGAGAAAUGUUAUAAGAGUUGAGUGAAGGACCCUCUUUGAGCUUCAUGUUUAUUACCAAAUUGGAAAUGUCUUUGCCUUGAGACAAAUCCUAUGGGUUUGAGCUGAAAAUCCAUUUUUGAAUGAGAAUUUUUUUUUUUUCCUAAAUGGGUGUAGACCCUCCAUUUUGUCCUCUUAACAGAUGUGACACUAAGUGUCUUCCCAUACUUCUCUUUUGACUCGUAGUCAUCUCUUGGCUACCUUUCGAGCUUAAUUUAGGCUCACUUAGACACACCUGGCCCAUUAGGCACUCCUGACCCAUUUAGGUACGCCUAGUCCUUUUAAGGCUUGCUUCAGCAUCCCUAAGUCAUUUGUAUGGCUUACGUGGUCUGCAUGAAUAUGCAUCACGUACUUAUAUCUAUUUAUCUUUUUAUUUAUUUAGUCAUUUCUUAUUCAUCUUUUAUAUAUGGUCAUUGUAUAUUUUUGUUACCAUUAUUUUUAUUAUUAUCAUCAUUAUUCUUAAUUUUGGUGGGAAAGUAAAAAGAGAGUGGGAGAAAAAGACUGGGGUGGGGUUUUUUAGAAAAUUAAAGAGUUUGGUGGAGAGGUGGAGAAGGGCCAUCGGGAAGGAGAUGUUAGAGAUUACGAGAGGAGAUUGAAGAGUUUUUUUUUUUUUUUUGGAAUGGAGCAAAGAGAGACAUGGGAGAUAUAAGAGGAAGUCUGUAGAAAAAAAAAACGUUUAGAAGGCAGAAGGAAUUUUCUGGAGAGAUGAAGAAGCAAAAAUAGAGGAGGGUAGUUCGUUUUGGGUUUGGCUAGUUUUUGGAAGAAGAUACAACUCACUUGAAGCAAAACAAUAUUGUUUGAGGAGACCUUUCUAGGUAUGGCAACUAUAAGCUUCUUGUUUUUUCAUUUAUUUGCUUCAUUCUCUAUUGAUUUCUAGGAAUAACUUGUUGAAUUAUAUGUAGAUGUUAUAAGUCAUAGGUUUGUUUUUGUUGAUUCUUGGAUUAUUGAUGAGCUUAUAUUUGCUGAUUCAUUUCUCACUUUGUUAGGUUGAUUAGAGAAUAACAUGACUCUGUCCCAAGCUUUGUUGUGUAGCAUCCGAAAGACUUGUUGUUAUUCUCAUUUCUGUGGGAUAUGCUCUGAUUGUUUCACUUGGUUUUCAAGCCCUUUGACAAGAUAAUGAAAUGUGGCUU